AGGGUGGAGGCGCCUUUCAUCUUGACAGCACGGGGACUGCUGGGGUCACUGCACAUCUGCGCUGCCGGGGAGACAAAGGGCAAGAAGACCCAGCAGACAUGAGUGAAAACAGCUGCCUGCACAAGUUGUCCCCUAACAGGUACAGCCAAGAGUCAGAAGCACAGAGGGAGCUGGGGAAGCGACAUUUCUUACAGAGCCCACUGCUGUCCCUGUGUGAAGUGGCUCAUAUCAGCUCUCGAUUCUAUGCCGGUGUUCUGGAUUUCCUCUUGAGAUGUGCAUUUGUAUCAGCCAUCCUGUCCCCUGUGCCUCUGACGAGCUCCCUUCUGGAUGGCCUGCUGUCAUGCUGAGAUGACCCUUCACUAACAUCUGAGAAGUCCCUUUGCUGUUCUACGGUGUGGAAAACUUGUUUCCUCCAUCUCAUGUCUUCUUCCUUGCUUAAUUCCUUUGUUUAAUGAAACAAAUUAAUUCCUUUGUUAAUGAAACUUCCCAAUAGUUUCCUAAGAAAAGUGUGUAAGUGGUCAACUAUUUGCAACCUAAUAUGUCUGAAAAUUCUACAUAUACUUUUAACAUGUAGUUUGAUUGGGUAGAUGAGUCCAGUGUGGAAAUAUUUUUUCAAAAAUUAGAAGCUAUUGCACUAUUGUCUUGUAGUAUGGUGUGUUGCUUUUGAGAAGUUGUAAGCCAUUUUUUUUUAAUCCUUUGUGUGUUUAUAUCUUUUCUUCUGUUUUUGCACCUCACAACCUUUUAUUUAUUUUUUCUCAUCAAUGCAAUAAACUUUCAUGAUGACAGGGCUUGUGUGGGUCAUGCUGUUCAAUUCUGGGAAAUUUCCUUGACUGA
rnacentral:lncRNA from 1 species